rnacentral:rRNA from 1 species
UACGUAGGGUCCAAGCGUUGUUCGGAAUUACUGGGCGUAAAGGGCGCGUAGGCGGCCACCGCAAGUCGACUGUGAAAUCUCCGGGCUUAACCCGGAAGGUCAGCCGAUACUGCGGGGCUAGAGGUGCAGAAGGGGCAACUGGGAAUUCUCCGGAUGUAGCGGUGAAAUGACGUAGAUAUCGAGAGGAACACCUGCGGCGAAGGCGGGUUGCUGGGCUGACACUGACGCUGAUGCGCGAAAGCUAGGGGAGCGAACGGG